GACCUGAUCACACAAUGGUUAGUGUAUCUGCAUGCGGUUGUAGUUAUUAUUCAGAAGUAUGUUUAUGCAGAAGAUCCCCGUUCGACUCGGGGUCAGGUCA